rnacentral:lncRNA from 1 species
UAGUUGAAAUGGCCGACGCGCCGACGCCAAAAAAGAAAAAAAGCCGCGCCAGCGCCACGUCAGCUUUGGGGCGAGCAGGAAACGGCGCUCCUGGUAGAUAUCUGGGAGGAUCGCCUGGUCGAUCUGCGCCGACAGAAGCGGAACGCCAGCGUCUACGACGCUAUCGUCGAGGCCUUGCGACAGGCGGGCUACGUAAGGACUCGACACCAAGUCCAACACAAGAUUGAGAGUCUUUCUCAAACAUAUUGAUUCUGGUUGAAAAACCAUAAAACGGGCGCCGGUGCUAUACCCUGGGUGCAUUUCUGGCGAAUCCGCAGUUUCCUGGGAACCCUGCCAGCAAACGAUCCGUCAAGGGCUCAAGAGAGCCACGUGACUGAGGAAGAGGUCAUCAUGGGGAUGGUCAAUGGUGAAGACUCGGCUGCUGCCGGGGAUCAAGACGGGCUGCAAGAGGGGGAGAGCAUACUCGGCAGGCCUCGAAUCCGUGCCCUCCUGCAGCCCAGCCUCCAGCAGUCAGGACUCCCCCAGCGCAGCCUCCCCCAGCAAUCCCUCCACCACCAACGGCAGCCCUGCUGCCAAUGCAACACCUAAAGGCAAGUGGCCUUUGAAGAAAAGGAAGGCUGGUGAAGAUAUCAAGCAGCAAAUGCUGGCAGAGCAUAAACUGCUCAGGGAGCAG